CUGGGUGGCUUCGGCCUAAACCCCCAACCAUUGUGAACGAUACCAGUGGCUUAGCCGGCGGCGGUGAACAACUGCCCUGGCGGCACAAGACUCUUCUAAUGUUAUCUCUGAGUCACUUUUAAAUAAGUCA
rnacentral:misc_RNA from 1 species